AAGCCCUUCGGGGUGUAAACUCCUUUUGCUAGGGAAAAAGGGAUGAUGGUACCUAGCGAAUAAGCCCCGGCUAACUACGUGCCAGCAGCCGCGGUAAUACGUAGGGGGCGAGCGUUACCCGGAAUCACUGGGCGUAAAGGGUGCGUAGGUGGCCCUGUGUGUCUGGCGUUAAAUACCACGGCUCAACUGUGGGAUUGCGCUGGAAACUGCAGGGCUUGGGUGCGGCAAAGGCAGAUGGAACUGCUGGUGUAGGGGUGAAAUCCGUAGAUAUCAGCAGGAACGCCGGUGGAGAAGUCGGUCUGCUGGGCCGUAACCGACGCUGAGGCACGAAAGCUAGGGGAGCGAACCGGAUUAGAUACCCGGGUAGUCCUAGC
rnacentral:rRNA from 1 species